UGCUGUGCUAUCUUAGUUCAAUUUACUUCUUUUUUUGUAAGGUUAGUAUAAUUUACUUUAUUAUUUGUUUCCGAAAAAGUGUAUGAAUAGUGGAUUGUUUAUGGUGCCUGAUUACUUGAUCUUCGGCAGGCUGAGACUUCUGAGAUAUGGAUGAAUCCGAGGGACCUACCUACUAUGCAAUCAGGUUCAUACUACAAUAUGACUGGACAAACACCUCAUGCUGCAUAUUUGCCAUCCCAUACCAGUCACGCCUCGUUUAAUGCAGCAGCACAAUCUUCUCACAUUCAAUUUCCGGGCAUGUACCAUACUCCACAACCUGCUGGAAUCCCCAGUCAGCAUCAUCCUGCUGUGAGCGGUAAUGUUGGAGUUGGAUUGGCUGCAGGGGGGCCAGCAGCCCAAGUUAAUGCCUUUCAGCAACCUCAGCUGGGCCACAUGAAUUGGACAGGGAACUUCUGAAGGCCUUUUUAAUCCAUGAAAAUUUUAUUAAAAGGGAUGGAGCUGAUUAUCUGUGGAAGUCCUCUCUCCUCUCUUUGCCCCUUUUUUCCUCAAAAGAAAACUUAAUCUACAAAUCAAUACAUUGAGUUGUGUUUGGUCCGUGCUGGUUUAUAUCUGUGAUUCACGGGACGGUAUGUCAACCUUUAUAUGGUUGUAUGCAAGUUUAUUAGGAUUAGAGCAGGCUUUGGUUUAUAAGUUAGGCCCUAUGUUUUUAUAGCCCGACUGAAAAUAUUUCUUCAAAUGGUUAAAUUGUUUUGGAGGUUUAUCAGGUCAGAGCUGGCUCUUGGGGUUAUAAGUCUGCCCUCAAUUUUUCAGUAGUCUGUUUUUCUGAUAAAUAAUCUCAAAACAAUUUAGGGGACGUUUGGAUGGGGUGGCAAUGUGAAUGAGUAUCCCCAGGGGUGGAAAAAAUAGUUUCCUUGUCAAAUGAAAGGCUUUUUUAAUAUAUUCAUUCACUCUGCAAAACAAGAUACUGUCAGGUGUGUGUUUAGGCCUUUUUACAUGUACAUGCAUGCUAAAAUUGAUCCCCGUACAGCAUCUUAUAUUUGGCCAUGCUUCUCUAGACAUUGCCUAGGCACAAAGGCUAUAUGUGGGUGAGCUUUCGGCUUGCCUUAAUUUUAAUUAGGUUGGCGUUUCUAAUUGGAUUCUUGGUGUAUAUAUUAGGCAACUGAAAACAUAGAGAACUGAGAGAUUUUUUUUUAAGGAUUUUAGUUAGUAAUAUAGUCAUUGGAUUGAUUAGUAGUCUGUUUUACAUAUUCAAGGGUGCAUUAUUGUAACUCCAUUGUAAUUGAAACGGGCAAUAAAUAUCGUAAUUGUUCAAACCACCACAAACAAUCUGCAAUGAGUUGUCACGAUAGAUUUGCAAUCAAUAGUCAAGGUAGAUUGAGAGAAUUGCCUUGCAAAUUUGUGUGUGGUGAUUUGUUGUCUUGUAGUUGUAGCCGACUUAUGAGUAAGAUUUGUAGCAACCUCGUGAUAUAUGUUAAUACAAUAUAUUUUCCAAACUUGUCGAAGUCAUUAAGUCAGCGGUUACUAUUCUAGAUGAAUUUAACCAACAUUACACAAAAUGAAUUAAAUUGAGAAUAUGGUAGUGACGUAUUCAACUCUCUUCUAUGUCACUUUGAGACUAGUAGUCAUAUGGUGAAAAAUAAAGUUCAAAGACUUGUGGAGUUGCAGAAUUAUUUCUUAUUCAGUUGAAUUGCAGAAGAGUCUUGUUUACUGGGAUUAUAUAUAAUCAACACCUGAAGCAUAACUAACCGACAUCCUAGGAUUAUAUAUAAUUAACACCUAAAGCAUAACUAAUUGGGAAUUGGCUGAUCAUGUUAUCAGAUAAAGGCAACAUGAAAUUUGAUAGCUUGUGAAUUAGAUGAGUGCACAAAGCGUCAAUAGGUAUGAGUGAAUAAAAAACUGAUUAACCCGCCAAACCAACCCAACCCGUCUUAUUUAAGACCGAACAAACCGAAUUGUUCAUAAUCGAAAAAUAGUUGAUUUCGAUUUUUAUUAACUUAGAAUAGAUUCGGUUGGGUAAGGAUUUUUAAAUCAUUAGACCUCAUCCAACCCAACCCAACCCGUUUAUAUUAGUCCACUUAUAUGUUAAUUCAGUCUAGCAUUUGUUUAUGAUAGUUUAUAUAGUAAGUUAUCAGUCUUACAACUGGAGUUUCAAUAAGUAAACAACUAAAAUUUAAAAUAGCUCAGUAUAUGAACGUAACAUAUGUGAACAUUUAGUUUAGUUCUUAGGUUGCCCUGUGCUGGCAGUGUCCCAAGAAUUCCUCCUUUAUAUGUCAGCUAAUUUAGCUCUAGCAAGAGCAAUAUUAUAAUAUAGAUUACCUCUCAAUUUAUUAAGACAAAUGAACUCCUUUACAAGCUUCAAUUAAUUUGCAUGACAGUCAUUGGGUGACCAGUCACUGGUGUGUUCCAAGCUUUAGUCCCGGUGCUAGAUUAAAAAAUUAAAAAGGUUUUCCAAAUUUCACAAGAUCAACAGGAACAUUGAGAAUAAUUGAAUUGUGGUCCAUUAUUCGUCUAUUUUUUACCAUAAACCUUUGAUUCUGUAUGUGUAACCAACCAAUCUGCAUUACCUAUAAAUCUAUCUAAUAUUUUCAUAAUAUUACUCACAGGUUUAAGAUUAGAUCAAGUAAAAGAGCUACUGACAGUUAUGAUGCAUGCAGACUAAAAUCAACGAUACAUUCUUAUUUUAAACUCGAUAAACCGGACCCUACAUGACCUAACCUGACGUACGAAUAAUGGGGUUGAGUUGGAAAUAUUUUUCAGGGUUAACAGGUUAAAUUUUUUAUAAACCGAUUAUAUCGAGCUGGUUUAAUUUUGCCACUAACCUGGCCAACCCAACCCGUGUUCACUCCUAUCAACACGUACGAAGUCGUGAAAUUAAGCAAGUCAAAUCAAGACAUCUGUUCCAAGUUAAGUCUUGAGAACAUCUCUAAGGAUCAUCUUCUCAUAGCUUUGCCAAGUCCACUGUUCCACUUCUUAAAGUCAAAACUUUUAACUAUAAUCAAUCUGGGAGUGACUUACAUGUGAUUAUAGGUCUGUAUGUAUGUAUGUAUGUAUGUGUGUGUGUGUGUGUGUAUGCAUAUAAAUAUACACACGCGCGCACAGAGAGAGAGACAUAGAAACACACACACACACAUAUAAUAUAGAGAGAGUCUUGUUUUGUCUCGUAUUUGUGUUUGAAGUGGUGAGGUUUUUCAAUGAAAUUUCCUUAUCACGGAUUCUCUAACAUUAAAAAUGCAUUUAUAUCUCUUCAUGUAGUUUGAAACUUAACCAGUCUGUUUUUCUAGAUAGUCAUACAGCUGAAAACCAACAAUAUUUAUCCUGGACUAUAAACCCAAAUUCGGAAAACAUCCCAACUUUCACCUUAGAGAUAGUCAAAACGGAGAAACUCUACUUGUUACAGUAAAUAAGAAUGUAACGGAUAGUGUACAUACAAUCUACCUCUAAAGAAGAAAUGAUGUUUAUAAAUUUGAGAUAUUUGCUGUUCAUCUGCAUUCUCUCAUAAGAAUCAGAGAUGGAAAAAGCAAUAAUACCGUCUCUGAAAUCAUUCUCUCAACAAGUCGAGUUCAUUGAAAUUUGCUCAUCAACAACUAGAGCAUCUUGUGUUGAGUCAAACACAUCAUCAGUAUAUCACUCUAAUGAAUAGUCUAAACAAAAAAUAUGUUAUGAAUACUAUAUAAGAGAGUGCAUGGUGAGGUUAAUGAUUUUGUUUCAGAAGCAAUUAUUUUUAAAAAAAUUUGAAAUAUAAGUAUAUAUUACGUGCAAUUAGAUACUGUUAUAUCCGAAAUUUACAGAUACUACGUGAAAUAAUUAAUUAGAAAAUCAUGGGGCUAAUGUUAUGACGUCAAGUUUUGUACAUGGCCUGACACCUGCAGCAUGACGAAGACGACGUGAUGAAAAGACAUGACAAGGACUGCGGGAAGCAAGGAUGCUUGGGGCACGUGAGUGACAUGUUGUGAGGAAUCAGUCGUUGGCUAGCAUAAAUAUAGGGAUAAGUACAAGCUUCGGUUGUAACAGAAGUGAGAGACUUUGAAGGGUACGUGGAGAAAGUUUAGGCAGUAUAACGGCAACAAUAAUAUUCAAAGCUGAAGACUUGUGUAUAAAUAGGGCUGAGAUAUAUCAAAGUAGAGGAUCAGAUGAUUAGCAUCCAACACUUACAGUAUACAUUGUAACCUACUUUUCAACUUAGUGAAUUAUCUUUCUGGCUGGGCCGAGCCCACCCGCGGUUUUUACCUCACAAGGGUUUUCCGCGUCACCAAUCUUUCGUCUUAUUUACUUUAUCGCACUUUAUUUUGAUUCGCUUAUAUCGUUAUAUUAGCUUGGCAUUUAACUCACAAAAUCUGGUUAAAACAAUUGGCGCCGUCUGUGGGAAACUUGUCAAGCAUUCAACAUGGCAACGGGAGACCAGCAACACAGCGAAUCAGCGAGUCAGAAUGACAACCCUACGAUACGGCAAAUGGCGGAGACAAUCAAGAAACUACAAGCUGACGUGAAUGCCCAACAGGAAGCAUGGAGAACUGAGAGGGAUACGCUCCACUCCCAAACCCAGGCUCUACAAAGAGAGCUCACGACAGUUAAAUCCAAAUCAAACCCCAUAUCGAAGGGAAGCCUGAAAAGCGUGGCCAGACGGUUGAACAUGGACGAUGAUGGAGAGGAGGAGUACGACGAGAAGAUCGAGGUGGAGAACCCUGAAGAGGGGAAUCCAGAAAUCAACGACGAGGACCACGACGAAAGGGGUGACAAGGGUCAUGACAGUGGACAAGGACGAAACGAGGGGAACAAAAAGAAGAAAAAGACACGUAGAUCUUCCAAAUCACGUAGUCAUGCAACGGAGGCAAUGAAGAAAGAACUACAUGAUCUAAAGGAGACGUACACAGACGAGAACAAUUCAUAUUCGUCUCAUCACGUCUAAACGGGAACCAGUAAAUCACAUGUGACGCAACACGACCAACAAGACAUGGGUGACAUCUACACGACAAAAAAAACACCACAGAGGACAUGACGUGACACCAAAGAGAGAGACCGCCAUAAUUGAUUUUUUGACAGAUGAAUGGACAGCUUCGCUUGGGAACACGACAACACGAUGGGUAGCAGCCUCGACUUGAACAUACACAAGUUAAAUGAUGACAAGUCAAGCCACAUACAUGUCAAAUGCAAAUCAAACAGAAUUAAGAUAAUCAAUCGCAAAAGAGACAACUAAUUCAAAAAAGGACAUGAUACAUGAAGUCGAGUAUCAAGAAUGACUAGCAAACAUGGUGACAGUAUAAAAAUAACACCACGACAGUUGGACAUAAAGUCUUGACAUGAUGAUCGACGUGACAGCUAGACAUGAACUCUAGUAACAUAACAGAUCAUGUCAAAUACAUUAUCACCUAUGAGCCACAAACAACGAUUGACUCACAAAUUUUGUUAAUUUUGUGGCUAAUUUCAAUCCAAGUCUUCUAUCUCAACAGGACAUGACGACUUAUCCUAAAAUCGCCACAAGGGGACAAUAUAGCAUACCCAAAGCACGAUCGACAUCACUGGUUCAACAUGAUGUGAAGUAAAAAGACAUGACAUGACCACGAAGGAUAAACAUAGACGAAAGAAUCAAAAAUGGACUAGUUGUUGAGACAAGUCGAAGAAACUUGAUUAAUGUCAACUCGACGACAUGGGACACGAAGGUCAACACUAUGACAGAACAUGAAUCAUUGACGCCUCUAGAGGUGUCCGACGUCUCCCAUCUGAUUCAACAAUACAUUACAAAUUACAAGUCCUCAGGGGCUCGAACAUGCUACUUUUAAAACUUUAUCACAUGUAAGUGAACUCAUCCUCUUUAUUCUCUUAGCCUUAGCAAUAUGAUAAUAAGUUGAUUACGAUCUUUACUUGGUCUUAUGCCAUUUAGAUGAUAUUUCAUGCUUCGUGUAAAUGUUUGUUUGAAUGAUUCAUGAUAUAAGCAUUAUGAUUCACAUGCUUGUUUCCUAUAUGACUUGCUACUCUACUUGAUUUGAUAUGUGUGUUGAAAUAUGUUAUGCAAGUUGUUGCAAAUAGUCUUCAUGUCUAACUGCAUAAAGUUGACAUCUUCAUCAUGAUAUUUAUUGUGACAUGAUAUUGCAUGAGUAUAUUUUAGAUACAUAUUAAUAGACAAGGAGGGCUGAUCACCCAUCCUACUACGGUUGAUCAUUAUCGAAUGAUGGUGACGACAACACUACACAUUACACAAAUAACUUACGACGCUACGAAUAAUGAUGCAUUUCAACAUUAUGUAUAUAAACAUUACAUAAUCACAAUUACAAUUACGAGCUAAGUUUCAAGAGGGAAAGGCCUUUUAACUAGCCUACGAAUGCAUGCAUCGACGUUUGAAAAUAAACAAAUUUGUCGAAUACAUCAACGAUUGAAAAUUAUAUAUAUUUGUCGAAUAGGGCUAAUGUUAUGACGUCAAGUUUUGUACAUGGCCUGACACCUGCAGCAUGACGAAGACGACGUGAUGAAAAGACAUGACAAGGACUGCGGGAAGCAAGGAUGCUUGGGGCACGUGAGUGACAUGUUGUGAGGAAUCAGUCGUUGGCUAGCAUAAAUAUAGGGAUAAGUACAAGCUUCGGUUGUAACAGAAGUGAGAGACUUUGAAGGGUACGUGGAGAAAGUUUAGGCAGUAUAACGGCAACAAUAAUAUUCAAAGCUGAAGACUUGUGUAUAAAUAGGGCUGAGAUAUAUCAAAGUAGAGGAUCAGAUGAUUAGCAUCCAACACUUACAGUAUACAUUGUAACCUACUUUUCAACUUAGUGAAUUAUCUUUCUGGCUGGGCCGAGCCCACCCGCGGUUUUUACCUCACAAGGGUUUUCCGCGUCACCAAUCUUUCGUCUUAUUUACUUUAUCGCACUUUAUUUUGAUUCGCUUAUAUCGUUAUAUUAGCUUGGCAUUUAACUCACAAAAUCUGGUUAAAACAAUUGGCGCCGUCUGUGGGAAACUUGUCAAGCAUUCAACAUGGCAACGGGAGACCAGCAACACAGCGAAUCAGCGAGUCAGAAUGACAACCCUACGAUACGGCAAAUGGCGGAGACAAUCAAGAAACUACAAGCUGACGUGAAUGCCCAACAGGAAGCAUGGAGAACUGAGAGGGAUACGCUCCACUCCCAAACCCAGGCUCUACAAAGAGAGCUCACGACAGUUAAAUCCAAAUCAAACCCCAUAUCGAAGGGAAGCCUGAAAAGCGUGGCCAGACGGUUGAACAUGGACGAUGAUGGAGAGGAGGAGUACGACGAGAAGAUCGAGGUGGAGAACCCUGAAGAGGGGAAUCCAGAAAUCAACGACGAGGACCACGACGAAAGGGGUGACAAGGGUCAUGACAGUGGACAAGGACGAAACGAGGGGAACAAAAAGAAGAAAAAGACACGUAGAUCUUCCAAAUCACGUAGUCAUGCAACGGAGGCAAUGAAGAAAGAACUACAUGAUCUAAAGGAGACGUACACAGACGAGAACAAUUCAUAUUCGUCUCAUCACGUCUAAACGGGAACCAGUAAAUCACAUGUGACGCAACACGACCAACAAGACAUGGGUGACAUCUACACGACAAAAAAAACACCACAGAGGACAUGACGUGACACCAAAGAGAGAGACCGCCAUAAUUGAUUUUUUGACAGAUGAAUGGACAGCUUCGCUUGGGAACACGACAACACGAUGGGUAGCAGCCUCGACUUGAACAUACACAAGUUAAAUGAUGACAAGUCAAGCCACAUACAUGUCAAAUGCAAAUCAAACAGAAUUAAGAUAAUCAAUCGCAAAAGAGACAACUAAUUCAAAAAAGGACAUGAUACAUGAAGUCGAGUAUCAAGAAUGACUAGCAAACAUGGUGACAGUAUAAAAAUAACACCACGACAGUUGGACAUAAAGUCUUGACAUGAUGAUCGACGUGACAGCUAGACAUGAACUCUAGUAACAUAACAGAUCAUGUCAAAUACAUUAUCACCUAUGAGCCACAAACAACGAUUGACUCACAAAUUUUGUUAAUUUUGUGGCUAAUUUCAAUCCAAGUCUUCUAUCUCAACAGGACAUGACGACUUAUCCUAAAAUCGCCACAAGGGGACAAUAUAGCAUACCCAAAGCACGAUCGACAUCACUGGUUCAACAUGAUGUGAAGUAAAAAGACAUGACAUGACCACGAAGGAUAAACAUAGACGAAAGAAUCAAAAAUGGACUAGUUGUUGAGACAAGUCGAAGAAACUUGAUUAAUGUCAACUCGACGACAUGGGACACGAAGGUCAACACUAUGACAGAACAUGAAUCAUUGACGCCUCUAGAGGUGUCCGACGUCUCCCAUCUGAUUCAACAAUACAUUACAAAUUACAAGUCCUCAGGGGCUCGAACAUGCUACUUUUAAAACUUUAUCACAUGUAAGUGAACUCAUCCUCUUUAUUCUCUUAGCCUUAGCAAUAUGAUAAUAAGUUGAUUACGAUCUUUACUUGGUCUUAUGCCAUUUAGAUGAUAUUUCAUGCUUCGUGUAAAUGUUUGUUUGAAUGAUUCAUGAUAUAAGCAUUAUGAUUCACAUGCUUGUUUCCUAUAUGACUUGCUACUCUACUUGAUUUGAUAUGUGUGUUGAAAUAUGUUAUGCAAGUUGUUGCAAAUAGUCUUCAUGUCUAACUGCAUAAAGUUGACAUCUUCAUCAUGAUAUUUAUUGUGACAUGAUAUUGCAUGAGUAUAUUUUAGAUACAUAUUAAUAGACAAGGAGGGCUGAUCACCCAUCCUACUACGGUUGAUCAUUAUCGAAUGAUGGUGACGACAACACUACACAUUACACAAAUAACUUACGACGCUACGAAUAAUGAUGCAUUUCAACAUUAUGUAUAUAAACAUUACAUAAUCACAAUUACAAUUACGAGCUAAGUUUCAAGAGGGAAAGGCCUUUUAACUAGCCUACGAAUGCAUGCAUCGACGUUUGAAAAUAAACAGAUUUGUCGAAUACGACAACGUUUGAAAAUUAUAUAUUUGUCGAAUACAUAUACUACAUGCAUCAACGUCUGAAAAUUAUAUAUUCAUCGAAUAUAUAUAUUUGUUGAAUACAUAUACUACGUGCAUCAACAUUAUAUUUGUCGACUACAAUUACGCGUAUUACAAGUUCAAAUACAUCAACGUAUUUAACAUACAUGUCGAAGAAAACUCCACAAAAUCACGCAAGUCACGACCCUUGGUCGAAUACAUUACACAUGAAUUACAACCUACAUUUUUACAUGUCAUCACUUACGCGUGUCAUGACAGAUUGCAUUGACUACAUGUCACACAUUACAAUCACAAGUGACAUAUACGGUUACAAACAACAUAUCACGUUAUGAUGACUAUUUACGCAUCAUUGUCUAUAAGUUACAUAUCAUGGACNGCUGGGCCGAGCCNCCGAAGACAUACUACAAAACACUUUACGUGUUAGUACAUUACAUUACAAUCACUCCAAAUUAAAAGGGUCGAAUGAACCAAUUUCAAGCCAUAGACGCAUAGGAUUAUGAUGUCGACAAUGACAAAUAUGUGACACCUUGCACAUGUCAGAAAUAUCUAUAAGGGACUUUACAAAUAUAAUGCAAAGCAACGUCACAACUUGACAUGUUAAUACUAUAGGGUUGUCCGACGGGUUGACUGGGGCUGUCCGAUGGAUAGGCUGGGGCUGUCCGACGGGUAGGCUGAGCUGAAAAAACACGUCGCUCAACACACAUAAGUGAUGUCUAUGGAACUGAAGCUGUCUUGACGCCAUAAGUCAUGACAUCGACGGCAAGAUACGAGUUGUAAACAUAUGACGAGAGGAUGCACUAGCACAUGACAUUGACGUUAUGGAUGGACUAAGGGAAAUAACAAAGUACGGCUGGAGUCGUACCGACAAAAGGUAGAAAACGCCUACAACAAACAUGUUCAUGUCAAGACAUUUAACGUUGGCGACUUGGUCUUGCGGAGGGUAUUUCAGAAUACUAUGGACAUGAAGGCCGACAAAUUUGCUGACACAUGGGAAAGGUCCUACCUUGUUGACGCUAUAGUUGGGCGCGGAGAAUAUCAGUUGUCAACCUUAUAUGGAAUUCAGAUACACAUGCUAACGUCAAACAAGGAAACGCUUCGUAUGAUUUGGGGAGAUUUUAUUAAUUAAUUAAAUUAAUAAAAUCUGGGGCUAUUGUUAUAUCCGAAAUUUACAGAUACUACGUGAAAUAAUUAAUCAGAAAAUCAUGGGGCUAAUGUAAUGACGUCAAGUUUUGUACAUGGCCUGACACCUGCAGCAUGACGAAGACGACGUGAUGAAAAGACAUGACAAGGACUGCGGGAAGCAAGGAUGCUUGGGGCACGUGAGUGACAUGCUGUGAGGAAUCAGUCGUUGGCUAGCAUAAAUAUAGGGAUAAGUACAAGCUUCGGUUGUAACAGAAGUGAGAGACUUUGAAGGGUACGUGGAGAAAGUUUAGGCAGUAUAACGGCAACAAUAAUAUUCAAAGCUGAAGACUUGUGUAUAAAUAGGGCUGAGAUAUAUCAAAGUAGAGGAUCAGAUGAUUAACAUCCAACACUUACAGUAUACAUUGUAACCUACUUUUCAACUUAGUGAAUUAUCUUUCGAGCUGGGCCGAGCCCACCCGCGGUUUUUACCUCACAAGGGUUUUCCGCGUCACCAAUCUUUCGUCUUAUUUACUUUAUCGCACUUUAUUUUGAUUCGCUUAUAUCGUUAUAUUAGCUUGGCAUUUAACUCACAAAAUCUGGUUAAAACAGAUACCAAUUAUUGUUAUAAAAAUAAAUAUAUGAUAAAUAUGAAAAAGAUAUUAAAAAAGUAGUUGAUUAUAUUAAUCGGAAUAUAAUGAUAGUUAAAAUAAUUAGAAAAUUUUAAGCAAAAUUAUCGUGUACAAAGCAGGUACGCCUGAUUUAUGUAAAGUGAAAAAAAGAGAAAAAAAUAAGAUGAGAAGAAAGAUCCGACCCGAAUAACAGUGAAUGGGCUGGUCUAGUGAGCAUCAGGAGGUAAUUUGGUUUUCAAAACCCUUGUUUGCGUCCCAUAACUCUUUUUGAGCCGUUCUCAACUAUUAUAUAUAAACACACACAAUCACUCAAAACCCAUUUGAAAUCGAAUGCAACUCGCUCUUCUAUUGGCUCUGUUAAACCCUGUUUUGAUAUUGGAUUACUAUCCCAACUGGGUUGUUUUCAAGUAUCUCAAAGAUGGUGUCUUCUUCCUCAACUUCAAGAAUUGAUGGGGGCCCUCAAAUACUGUCUGCUGGCGUGAGAAAAACAAUCCAAUCCAUAAAAGAAAUCGUGGGUAAUCACUCUGAUGCUGAAAUUUAUUCCACCCUUAAAGAGACUAAUAUGGAUCCUAAUGAAACUGCCCAGAAAUUGCUCAAUCAAGGUCCCCUUUUUUUUCUUGGUUUGUUCACUGUUUUCUUGAAUCAGUUUUUAUUUUUAGUUUAGUUGCAUGCUAAUUUGGUGUUUUUUUUGGGGUUUUAUAGCCUUGGUCACUUGUUUCGUGUGUCCUUAAAGCUUUUGUUUUUAUUGGUGUUUUAACGAUUAUUUUGUAGAUUUUUGGUCUGUGUAUAUGCUUAGCAUAUGAAAAAUUAUUUACGAAAGUGAAAAUGAUAACCUGUUUUGAUUGCAUUUGUUAAUAUCGAGACAUUUAAAUGACCUUUAUUAUAAAGUGUAGAAGGACUGUUUUAUUUAGCAUUCUUCCUAGUAUGAAGUUUUUUAUAUAUAAACAUUUAUAGGACAAAUUAGAAUAAGGGAUGGAUAAUCAGUAAGUUUGGCUUGUUCAAGAAUGCGAUAUGUCAAUGCUUAAAUUUUCUAAAGUUUUGAUGCAAGAUUAGUAUUCAGUGGCUUAAUAAUCUUUUCGAGUGAGGAUACUGAGGAUUGUCAUAAAUUAGUUUCCACUUUAUGGAUUAAUUAUGAAAGCAUGAAAAUGCAGAGAUUGGGGGUGGGGGAGAUAUGACAUAUCAAAACAUUAUUAACAUAUGCAUGAUGUUGUAUGUGGCAACUGGCAAUAGUUUAAGAAUAGGAGUUCUGUUCAAAUUAAAUUCCGUCGUCCAAGACAUCACUUCUGCAUGCAUGGUUGUUAGAACUUAAAACUGAGUUGAUGGCGGUAGAAGCAGGACCUGCUCAUGAAUCACCACAAUCCCCCAAGUGCGUAGUUUAUGGGGCAGGUAAAGACUUAAGAAGGAUUCUAUUAGUUAUCAAGAUUCCCAAAUGAGUAUAUCCAAAUUUUAAAAUAUCUUUGUAUGUUAUAUAGAUUUUGGAUUACACAUACAGAUGAAACUGCCCAGAAAUUGCUCAAUCAAGGUCCCCCCUUUUUUUUCUUGGUUUGUUUGUUUACUGUUUUCUUGAAUUGUUUUUUUUUUUUUUUUAGUUUCGUUGCAUGCUAAUUUGGUGCUUUUGUUGGGGUUUUAUAUUUUUUGGUCACUCGUUUCAUCUGUCUUCAAAGCUUUUUUUUUAUUGGUGUUAUAAUGAUUUUUUUGUAGAUUCUGGGUCUGUGUAUAUGCUUAUCAUAUGAAAAAAUUAUUAAUGAAAAUGAUAAUCUGUUUUAAUUGCAUUUGUUAAUUUCGAGACAUUUAAAUAAGCUGCUCAUGAAUCACCACAAUCCCCAAGUGCGUAGUUUAUGGGGGCAGGUAAAGACUUAAGAAGGAUUCUAUUAGUUAUCAAGAUUCCCAAUAUGAAUAUAUCAAAAUUUUAAAAUAUCUUUGUAUGUUACAUUGAUUUUGGAUUACAGUAUUACACAUACACUUUUAAAUAAUAAUGUAUACUCCCUCUAUCCCGGUGAGUAGUAUACAUUUUGGACAGAGAGCUCGGUACGCAGUAUAAGGCUCUUAAAAAAUUUAGUUUUAUGAAUUUUUUUAAAAAAAUAUCUUCAAAAUAAAAAUUUAGUGUUUACAUUUUUAUUCAGAAACAAAAAUUUUAAAAUAAGUUACAGAAAUCUAUUUCAUAGGAACGUUAAAAUGCUUGUCAAGCAAUGCAAAAAAAACUAUUUAGAAUUGAGUGGGACGGAGGGAGUAAUCAUUUACAACUAACUUAGUUACUAUCUGCUCCAGCCGGAUGUAUUUAUGAGAUGGGGGUCUCGUUUUGAAUAUUCGCUCCAAAUGCUAGCAAAGAUGGCAAAUCAAUGAUUGAAAACUUGAAUAUUGUUGUAUAGAGAAUUGGUCUUUAUCAAUUUUUAACAAAUGGUGUGUGGCUAUUUAUAUCAUAAAAUCAUAUUAAAAGUAACCAUUCUUCUUUCUUUGCUAAUUGAACACACACUACUCAUAUUUGCCUUUGACAAGGGUUGAGCCCUAAAUUUCCUGUAAUUGGGUAAAGGGAAGUACCCUUAACUAGAACCCUUUGGUAAUACUAGCUAUAAUUCAUUUCUAUUGAUUUCCGUACAUAUUAAUAUCGAGAGAUUUUUGUGGCUAGUUAGAUUGUUCCUUAUCAGUUGCAUUAUCAGAUUACUUCUGAUGAUUAUUCAAUUUGGAUUGUGAAAGUUAAUGAUUUAUAUUUGCUCUGUUUUCUUCUGUUUGAAUGUCAUUUUCUGUGGUUAUAUACAUCUGAUAUGGAUGCAAGAAUUAUUUGGACUGUUUCUGCUCAAUUUUUUUCAGGUUAUAUGGUAUUUUUACUUGAUAAUUAUUUUGUUACAGGAUGUAAUGUGGAAAAAUUUGUACAUUGUAGCACGAUACCUUUUUCAUUGCUUUUAUGUUAUCAUUUCGUCUGUUUUUGAUUGUCCCUUUGCGUUUUCUCAUAUUCAGAUCCAUUUCACGAGGUCAAAAGAAAAAGAGACAAGAGGAAAGAGGUAUCACUUUUUACUGAAUUGUAUGACAUGUUCUUCUUAAUUGAAAAUUAGUUUUUUAUCUUAUGUUUAUUGUUUGUCAUGCAUUCUUGAUAUUGGCAUCCCGGUGGUAGAAAAAUAUCUAAUAUUGCACUAGCCAUCAUAAAACUGUACCAUGAUUACUAUCUUAUUUUAAAAAGCUGAUAAUAAUACUUAGAUGGGUUUUCCUUACUUUAAGAUAUGGUUCAUACAAAGUGUUUGUGUCAGGUUACAAUGAACGUGGGGCAUACUGCAUCACAACAGAAAAAGCACAGUGAAUCAUUAAAUCAAGGGAGCAAACACACUGCACAUUCUGAUCACAGUGUCAGUGGCAAAGGAAUUAUCCGGAAUUCUUUGCCGGGUAAAAAACCUUUACUCUUAUAUUAGAUGUUCAGAUUUCUUUGUGUUCCAGCUUUGCUGAUGUAAUGUUAAAGAUGUAGUUCAUUUGGAAAAUGUAUCGUGUAUAUUGAAAUAGCAUUGCUUAGUAGGCGUUUGGAUCAUCGAUUGGAAUGAGAAUGAAGGGUAUGAAUAUGGUGAUAAAUGUGAACAGAAAUUAUAUAAAAUCCCAGGGAAUGAUUAACCUACCUAAUGGGGAUGGCUGAAUGAGGUUCCCAUUCCAAGCAACCAAAUUGCUUACCCAAACACUAACGUACAGGAUUGAGGUUCUGAUUCCUGCUAUACGGGCUCAUUAACUAUGAAUAAACCACUUAGGAUAUGUGUAUGGAUACCAAAUUGUUAGACUCCAUAGAUAUUAAGUUAUUCUGUAUACGGAUACUAAGUUGUCAUACUUCUGCUUUAGUCUAGUUCACUUAAUUACUUCUGCUCUAGUCUAGUUAUGUUAAUUGGCAAGAACUUUUUUCUGUUGGUUCAAACACUUUAUGUCCCGACCUACCUGUAUAUGGCUCUUGUGUUUUUUAAUUGUCUUAUUGAUCUUCAGUUCUCUUUUACCUAUUCAUGCAUGCUUACUUUCAUACUCUGUCACGAAUUAAAGGUUCCUGAAGUGAUUUUCUGUAACUUUUUGGUAACUUUCUGUGUUUAGAGACUAGAAGUAACAGAAUAACUAGAGAAACAGAUAGAAUCAAGAGAGGAACAGAGAAACUAGAUGAGAUUCAGAGCGCGAUUCCAGAAAAAAGAGAAAGAAAAGCAUAGAACAGAGAAUAAGACAUAGAAACGCUAGAGAGAGAUGAAGUAACAGAUUCUGUUAUAUAGAGAGAAGGAAGUGAUGGGAAUGUACGUAUCAUAUAUUCAUCAUAAUCUAAAAUGGAAACAUUAUGUCAGGAAUGGCUUAUCUUAGUUGCAGUUCUUGCUAAUAGUAGUAGAGUCUUACUAUAUACUUAUCAGUAUCAACACAGUAGUAUACUUUAGUAAUUAUAGUUGUGCCACUUCAUUACUAGAAGUUAGUUUGCCUAUAAAUACUUGAUAGGCUUUGUAUUUCCAGUUAUGUUGAAUAUAUGAAAUGGAAUGAUUUCCACCAAUCCACUUUCUCUCUCUGUAACUGAUUCUCAGUUUCUCUGUAGGGUUGCUAACCCCAUUUUAUCUCUCUGCUCAAUCUCUGUCGUUUCUGUCUUUUCUGUCUCUAUCUCUCUCAUGUCUCUCUGAAUUCUCUCUAACUGACUCUAUUUGAGCUGUUAUCUCUACUUUACUUGUUCCUGCCUUUUAUCAACAUAAAACAUUGAAAAUAGUCUCAAACAGCUCAGGAUUCCCCCAAUUCCUGACACAUUACAAGGGUAUUUAUAGUAGUCUGCUACUUGCCCCACUUAACUAACUAAAGAAAGGGCAAAGUACCCCUCUUACUAUACCCUACCUAUACAGUAGAUUAAAACUGUCUUUCCUAUCAGCUCUGCUCAUUUAGUAGUACUCUAUGUUGAAUUUCAUUCUUCUGUUGUGUAACUCUUGGUAUAUUUAUCUGAGAUUCUUCAUUAGGUCGUUUAUAAUAUAGGCUAUUAACAUUUUUAUUAUUUGUUAAUUGUUGUUUUCUUAUGAUAGAUGCAAAGGCUAGCAGAGAGUUCCGUGUUGUGAGGGACAAUAGGACUAAUCAUAAGCCAAGCAGCAAGAUAAAGCCUCCCUUGCAAAGCCAAAUAUCUUCAAAUGAACUAGAAGUCCCGAAGUUUGCCAAUAAGAGGUACUGUAUAUGUCUCGUGGCUUUUUUUUUUCCCUUUACAAAAAUUUACCAUUCUAGGAAUGUAUUGAUCGGCUGGUUUAGUUUUUUUCUUUGGUUAAAUCUCCUACAUUUACUUGGGGCCUGCACGCUUGAAGUUCCCUGAAUGAACCUAAGGAUUUCCUGGAGUUCUACAUUUCCUCGUCUGUUUGUGUAUAAAUAUGUUAUUUAUUUCCCUUCUCAGCAGCUUGAACGUGACUUCUAAUGAGCAGAAACAGACAGUUGUGCGUCAUCUAACUAAAUCUUCAAAUGGAACGACUGAGACACAGCCUAGGCAGCCAAGGGUUGUUCAGAUUAAUAAUAAGAAAGAAUCAUUGGAGGAUAAUCGAUCCGCAGUUAUAAAGCCUGUUACACAGAUUCAAACUAAGAGCACAAAUGAUUCCCAUCUAUCUGCAACUUUAUCUAACAACUCUGUGGCAGGGGUAUACUCUUCAUCUUCUGAUCCUGUACAUGUACCUUCUCCUGAUUCCAGACCAGCUGCUAACAUUGGAGCAAUUAAGCGUGAAGUUGGGGCUGUUGGUGUACGUCGUCUGUCUACAGAAGUUUCUCCCAAAGGUUCAUCACCACAAUCUAAUUCUUUUCCUAAUACACAUUUGGGACGUGAUGGUCCGUCAAGAGAUUCAUAUCGAUCUUCUGCUUCCCUGUCUAAAAGCAGCCAUCCUAGUCAAGCUCCUGUUAAUGACUCGACUUUGAAGAAUAUUCCAGUCAAUAGGCCAUCUGUUAAUAAUCAGCAGGUUAACAGACAGCAUCAAUCUGGUGGUCAUCAAAAAGGUAAUCAUUUUCUGCAGAACUGUUUCUCCUAUGUUAAUACUGUUUAGCUGUUCAAUGCUCAUUCUAGAACAGAUGCAUGGAACACAAGUUUGUAUUUUAAGUUGCAUUCUGCUAUUUAUUUGUUCCAAAAACUGUUUUGGAUUUUUAUAAAUUGUAAGUAAUACUUUGAAGGUUUUUUUAGAAUUGACAAAUUUGUAAACCAGAUGAAGACGACAAUUUUUUUUAAAAAAACAAUUGGUGUUUGGGUUUGGGAAUCUUAUGUGAAACUCGAAAGAGAACAGCUGGAUUUCCCUUUAAUAGAUUGGGUAAACAAUUUGGUAACAUGACACAGCAUACAAUAAAUAUGUAUAUUAUUUAUUUAUUAUAAAAUCACUAAAUUCCUCCCUGACAAAAAAAUAAAUAAAAAAUCACUAAAUUCCUUUUUAUUUUUUUUUAUGUAUAAACAUAGAUAAUCUGUAAUUUAUCAUAUAUUUUAUGUCAUGAAAACACAACUCAAAAUUAUUAAGUUUAUUGUAAGUCAUUUACUGUCGUGUGUGCGUAACGUUUGUGACAUGAAACACCAUUUACACGACAUAUUUUGUACAAUUGCUAGGUCUAGUUUUUGAAAUGUUAUAUAUUCUCUUUCAUGAAGGCUGUUCUUAGCCUUUUUUUAUGUUUAAGUUUAAAUAAAUCUUCGAAGCAAUAAAUUGGAAGUUUUUAACUAAAAGAACUUGAAAUUCAUUAUAUAUGUGUAAGGCAGCUAGGAGAACCAUUCGGAUUUGGUGCUGACUAUUGGUGAUUGCAAUUUAAUAGUAGAUAUUCCGAUGUUGGUUUUUCUACAUAAUUUCAGUGUUGCUUUCGUCGCUUUGAUAGUUAACAGUGUAUGGAUUAUAAAAACCAUCAUUUUCUAUUUUUAUUAUUCUUGUUUUCUUUAUUGUCUUAAAAGCUAUUUCAUAACAUAGCUGGCUCUCAUCGUGAAUUUAUAAUUGCUUUUGUGAUGUUUAAUUUGCAAAAAAAAAGAAACCCUUGUAAUUAGGACCUCAAUAUAUAGAAUACAAAUUAGUGGCCAAAUUAAGUCCUUCAAAUAUACGCGUUUCUUAAUAUUUUUGGUGCUGCAAGUGCGCAUUGGCUUUAAUAGCAUCACUUAAUUAUUUCAAGGGGAGGGGACAUUGUAGACUACCCGCUUAUGUUUAGUUUCGCUAUAUAUGGUCAGAUUAGACAGUGUUCUAGAAGUUAUUAAGUGGUGUGUUAGUUUUUAUAAAUACUCCUUCUAUAUUAUUAUAUGACGCUUUGAUUUUUGGCACACAUAUAUAGGUGUGUUGACCACAUUUGAAAUUAUUUUAUUCAUGAAUAAAAUUAUAUAACAAAAAUUUUAAUUCACAAAAAAAAAUUAUAAAUAAUAAUUUUUACUAUGUGGUUAAACUACGUAAAAUUGUGUGCCAAAAGUCAAAGCGUAAUUUAUUAAAAAAUAAAAGGGAGUAGUGGUAUGGAGGACUUUAAUGUUAGAAAAAGAUGCACACUUUUUUUUUGUUUCUUUAUAUAAAUAUAUUAACAAAAAGGGCACAGCCGUAGCCAGUUUCUUGCACACAAUUUAUAUGUGUGUAAUAAUGAAGAACACCAUUGAUUAUGGUAUCCUAAUGCAAUAGCAUCCUACUCUAUAGUUAUAGUUUAUUAUGUGUCUCAGCCCUUCAGGCAAUUAAGAUGGUGCUUAUGCAGCAUAUUUUAGCCUUCAAAUAUGGUGUUAAUGUUAAGAGGAGAGGGAGGGGAAUUUUUUUUCUCUUAUUCCAAGCCAAUCACCCUCACGAAAGUGCUCAAAUUCUGAGAAUGAAAAAGAUACUUGAUCACUAAGAAUUGCCUGUUACAGAUCUUAAUGUAAUGACCCUACUGCUGCCAGUUUAUGUUUUAAUGAAGAACUCCAGGCAUCUUAAAACCUUUUUCUUUUAGUCCGAAUGACAUAUGUAUUGAGUUUUCCUAACAACUGAUCACAAGGUCUAUCUGUAGUUUCUUCACAUUCUAACAAGGAGUGGAAACCUAAAUCAACCCAAAAACAAAGCACCGGUCCUGGAGUUAUUGGAACACCAUCAAAAUCUGCUUCCCCUCCUGCUGAUGCCUUAAAGAAUUUGGAAACAGAAUCAACUCAGUUGCCAUCACAUGUAGACAUCUCGGACAAUGAGAAUGUAAUUAUAGCUCCACAUAUACGAGUCUCCGCAACUGACAGGUUUCGAGUGACUUUUGGCAGUGUGGGUACAGAGUUUGAACCUUCCAGAAACCCGGGGUUCGAAGCAGUAAAAGUUGCAGAGGAGCCUUUGAUUGAUCCUUCAGGAAGGUUUGUUUCUCAAAAACCUGCAGUUUACUUGUUUGCUUGCAGUGUGAGUAUUGUUGCAAGUUUGUCAUGACUUUGUGGGGAUAUAUAUCAAUUUUGAAGCAGUGUGUAAAGCAGUAUACACAUAGUGGUUUGUUUUGCAAUGUUAUUGUCUAGUUGAUUUGCAACACCCUAAUUAAAACUGAUUACGUGAGAUGUAUGACAGUGUAUCAGUUGCUACUCCUGACUCUUCUGGUGAUGAAUCUUCUGGAAGUAAGCAAGAAGACUUGAGAGAUGAAAAUGUUCGCAAUUCUGGUAGCAGUUCCCCUGCGUCUGCAGCAGUAUCUGAACAGCAAUUGACCAGUAGGAUAGAAUCAUCAGGUCCUCAGGAUAUAGACAAGGGGGCAGAGGUUGAAUUGGUGCGUAAUAACAGUCAGUCUCACACUCCAUCUCAGUCACAACCACACCAGGAUCCUUCCCAGUUACCAAUAUUUUCUGUGAGUGCCAUAAAUGAGUUUGUUAAAUAUUUUAUGCUAUUCCAUUGGGUUUGCACUUUGGUUUAUGAUGUUUGUCCUUGUUUCUAAGUUGAACUAUGUUUCACGAAAAAUGUAAUAUAAUGUUCUAUUAACUAAUUAAUCAUGUUACCUAAUAAAAUGUGAACAAUGUUGCUAUAUUGGUAUUAACUUAUUGAUGCCGGACAAAACAUAUGGUAGGAGAAUUCAAAUAAACUAAGUACAAGAAACUAAAAAACUAGGUUGUUUUUUUAAAGUAAAAUGGCUACCCUGAGCUAUCUCAUUUGCUGAAUAGAUGUGAAGGACAGGAGUUUCAAAGAUAAAUCAACUGAGGCCUUAAUCAUACUGGCUAAACAAAAAGUUGAAAACUAAGACAGCUAUAAAAGGGGAACAUGGGAAAUAACUGUCUGAUAAACAGGAAAACUGGGAAUAACUGCAACUUGCCAAAAAAAAAAAUGAUCUCAGUGCUGGUAUUGGUCCUCGCUGGUCAUAAAUCUCUGGUAGUGAUAUACAGUUCUUAUAUCCAUGCAUGUUGUUCUGGUUAACUUAAUUCCAAUAAAUAUGUUUUUGUUAAUUGUGUGUAGGGUCAAGUAGCUUUUGCAUCUCCGCAGGCUAUGUUCAAAUAUAUGUACAUUUUUUGUAAAUCUGCCUUUGUUUUCCAAUCUCAAUCUGACAUCCUGUUUUGUGGUUGUCUGUAUACAGUCAUAUGAUCCCCAGAGUAUGUAUGACAUUCCGUAUUUUCGAUCAUCAGUCGAUGAAACUGCAAGGGUGCAAAGUCUGCAGUUUCCUCAGGAGGUAACACUUAGUUUACUUUUACUUGCAAAAUAUCAUCUUGUUUAUAUCUCUCCCACAUGUGGGCAUGACAAAUCUAGCUCUUGAUUGCUGCUUCCUUUCUGUAUGGUUGCAGGCUAUAAGCUCACAUACAGUAAAUAACAUCCCAUCAUCUACGGUAGCCAUGGUGCAACAGCCGCAGUUGGCGCAGAUGUACCCGCAAGUUCAUCUUUCUCAUUAUGCUAAUAUGAUGCCAUAUCGUCAAUUCCUCUCUCCAGUUUAUGUUCCACCAAUGGCUGUGCCAGCAGGCUAUACUAGUAACCCUUCCUAUCCUCAUCCAUCAAGCGGCAACAGUUACUUGCUGAUGCCCGGAGGUAGCUCCCAUCUGCCUGGAAGUGGGGUCAAGUAUGGAAUCCAGCAGUUCAAACCAGUCCCCACCGGCAGUCCAACUGGGUUUGGCAACUUCACUAAUCCAAAUGGUUAUCCUAUCAAUGCUCCUACUGUUAGUGCGACAGGACUUGAAGACUCGUCUAGGCUGAAGUACAAAGAUGUGAAUCUUUAUGUUCCAAAUCCACAGGUGAGCGUUUUUCUUUACGUUAUUUUUUCUUUCUGCUUCUGUUCAUAAUACAGCAAAAGGAACUUGAUAAAUAGACUCGUAUUGUGAUAUUGGUGCUUGUUUAAUCUAUGUUUCUGCAAUAGGGUCAAGCUCUGUUAUAUUAAUGAAUUAUUUGUUCCCGAAAAAGUGUAUGAAUAGUGUAUUGUUUGUUGUGCCUGAUUACUUGAUUUUCAACAGGCUGAGACCUCUGAGAUAUGGAUGAAUCCGAGGGACCUACCUACUAUGCAAUCAGGUUCAUACUACAAUAUGACUGGACAAACACCUCAUGCUGCAUACUUGCCAUCCCAUACCAGUCACGCCUCGUUUAAUGCAGCAGCACAAUCUUCUCACAUUCAAUUUCC
rnacentral:lncRNA from 1 species